rnacentral:rRNA from 1 species
UACGUAGGGUGCGAGCGUUGUCCGGAAUUAUUGGGCGUAAAGGGCUCGUAGGCGGUUUGUCGCGUCGGGAGUGAAAACACGGGGCUUAACCCCGUGCCUGCUUCCGAUACGGGCAGACUAGAGGUAUGCAGGGGAGAACGGAAUUCCUGGUGUAGCGGUGAAAUGCGCAGAUAUCAGGAGGAACACCGGUGGCGAAGGCGGUUCUCUGGGCAUGACCUGACGCUGAGGAGCGAAAGUGUGGGGAGCGAACAGG